rnacentral:rRNA from 1 species
GCACAACGCGAAGAACCUUACCAGGGCUUGACAUCCAAAGAAUUCCUACGAAAGUAGGGAGUGCCUUCGGGAGCUUUGAGACAGGUGGUGCAUGGUUGUCGUCAGCUCGUGUCGUGAGAUGUUGGGUUAAGUCCCGCAACGAGCGCAACCCUUGUCAUUAGUUGCUACGAAAGGGCACUCUAAUGAGACUGCCGGUGACAAACCGGAGGAAGGUGGGGAUGACGUCAAGUCCUCAUGGCCCUUAUGGGUAGGGCUUCACACGUCAUACAAUGGUCGGGACAGAGGGUCGCCAACCCGCGAGGGGGAGCCAAUCCCAGAAACCCGAUCGUAGUCCGGAUUGGAGUCUGCAACUCGACUCCAUGAAGUCGGAAUCGCUAGUAAUCGCAGAUCAGCAUUGCUGCGGUGAAUACGUUCCCGGGUCUUGUACACACCG